CAAGCCAGCUCUCUUCUCGAGUCCACGCACUAAUCUUUCGCCUUUUACUAAAGAUUACCGCGGGGAGGGACAUUCCAAUGAGCCUAUAGGCCAAUUUUCGGAUGAAUAAUAAUAAUAAUAAU
rnacentral:snRNA from 1 species